CUUGAACGCUGGCGGCAGGCCUAACACAUGCAAGUCGAACGAGUGGCGGACGGGUGAGUAAUGUCUGGGAAACUGCCUGAUGGAGGGGGAUAACUACUGGAAACGGUAGCUAAUACUGCAUACCAUCAUCUGUGCCCCGAUGGGAUUCGCUUGUGGGUGGGGUAACGGCUCACCACGGCGACGAUCCCUAGCUGGUCUGAGAGGAUGACCAGCAACACUGGAACUGAGACACGGUACAGACUCCUACGGGAGGCAGCAGUGGGGAAGAUUGCACAAUGGGCGCAAGCCUGAUGCAGCCAUGCCGCGUGUAUGAAGAAGGCCUUCGGGUUGUAAAGUACUUUCAGCGGGGAGGCGUUACCCGCAGAAGAAGCACCGGCUAACUCCGUGCCAGCAGCCGCGGUAAUUC
rnacentral:rRNA from 1 species